UCCCUGGCAGUCCAGUGGUUAGGACUCAGCACCUUCACUGCUAUAGCCCUGGGUUCAAUCCCUGGUCAGGGAA
rnacentral:tRNA from 1 species